CAGUCGCCGCGGUAAUACGAAGGGUGCAAGCGUUAAUCGGAAUUACUGGGCGUAAAGCGUGCGUAGGCGGUGAGUUAAGUCUGCUGUGAAAUCCCCGGGCUCAACCUGGGAAUGGCAGUGGAUACUGGCUCGCUAGAGUGUGUCAGAGGAUGGUGGAAUUCCCGGUGUAGCGGUGAAAUGCGUAGAGAUCGGGAGGAACAUCAGUGGCGAAGGCGGCCAUCUGGGACAACACUGACGCUGAGGCACGAAAGCGUGGGGAGCAAACAGGAUUAGAUACCCCUGUAGUCCAUGUCUCUUAUAC
rnacentral:rRNA from 1 species